rnacentral:snoRNA from 1 species
UGGCAUGAUAUGGACACUUAACCAACAUACCCUUGAAUCUCUCCCACGUUUCUUGUAAUGUUUCUAUUAGUUUCUGUCUGAAGCUCAAAAUCUCAUCAAUUGUUG